AGUGAACGCUGGCGGUAGGCCUAACACAUGCAAGUCGAACGGCAGCACAGGAGAGCUUGCUCUCUGGGUGGCGAGUGGCGGACGGGUGAGGAAUACAUCGGAAUCUACUUUUUUGUGGGGGAUAACGUAGGGAAACUUACGCUAAUACCGCAUACGACCUACGGGUGAAAGCAGGGGGUCUUCGGACCUUGCGCGAUUGAAUGAGCCGAGGUCGGAUUAGCUAGUUGGCGGGGUAAAGGCCCACCAAGGCGACGAUCCGUAGCUGGUCUGAGAGGAUUAUCAGGCACACUGGAACUGAGACACGGUCCAGACGCCUACGGGAGGCAGCAGUGGGGAAUAUUGGACAAUGGGCGCAAGCCUGAUCCAGCCAUACCGCGUGGGUGAAGAAGGCCUUCGGGUUGUAAAGCCCUUUUGUUGGGAAAGAAAUCCAGCUGGUUAAUACCCGGUUGGGAUGACGGUACCCAAAGAAUAAGCACCGGCUAACUUCGUGCCAGCAGCCGCGGUAA
rnacentral:rRNA from 1 species